rnacentral:lncRNA from 1 species
CGUGCGUGGAAACCAUAGCAACGUCCUUUCUGGCCUCUGUUGACUGCCUCUCUUCCCCGGGCCUGGACUCUACACCUGACAAAGCAAAAUACUCAUUGACUUAAAUUCCCCCGAAACACGUUUCUCGCCCUCUCAUGGAGUCGAAGUCCUUCGGCCUCUGAGAAGGUCAGCCCAAUUUCAUACCCCUUAAUCCUGUGAAAUCCUUGAUAAAUAUUUGAGCCAUUUCUCUUUCUCGAUGGAAAACAAGAGAAGUAGGCGCUUCCUGAGGAUGCUUCCUGUUUUCUCUUUGGAAAGGACAGACUCUUUGAGAUCUGCUCUCCGGACGAAAAAUAGAUUGAUUCAUACACGUCAUCUGCCUAAGUGCUAAGGAAAAGAAAUAAACAUACUAUCCUGCCAUAGGAGAAGCCGAACCCCGC